CAGUAGCCGCGGUAAUACGUAGGUGGCAAGCGUUGUCCGGAAUUAUUGGGCGUAAAGGGCUCGCAGGCGGUUUCUUAAGUCUGAUGUGAAAGCCCCCGGCUCAACCGAGGAGGGUCAUUGGAAACUGGGAAACUUGAGUGCAGAAGAGGAGAGUGGAAUUCCACGUGUAGCGGUGAAAUGCGUAGAGAUGUGGAGGAACACCAGUGGCGAAGGCGACUCUCUGGUCUGUAACUGACGCUGAGGAGCGAAAGCGUGGGGAGCGAACAGGAUUAGAUACCCCUGUAGUCCCUGUCUCUUAUAC
rnacentral:rRNA from 1 species